AGCCAAUGAUGUCAUCAAAUAUUUGCUACUCUCGACUUCUUGAAUGACGAUAGUACACAGUUGCUGAGGCU